AGUCACAAAGAACUUUCCGGUGCUUUGCAUGAAAGAAAGGUAGGAGGGGGCCUUGCAUUAUUAAAAUACAAGAAAGUCUUUAAUGGCCAUGAUAGAUGCUGGAAGAGUUGAAAGACACUACAUUUCUAUAUUUCAGGGCUGAAAUUAGAAUAUGAAAGGACACAUAGUCCUCCCAAAGUUCACCCCUUGCCUGAUGGUUCAAAUACCGAAAAUAGAAAUGAAAGAUUGAAGCAAGAAGGAGCCCUGACAUUCUAUAAUAAGAGAAAGAAUUAGAAUGUAUUCAGGGCCGGCGCUAG